CAGCCCAUUGAAAAGAUUAGGUCACGUCAGCUAGUUUCCUAUCCAUUUAUUUUAUUAUCCAUGGUUCAAGUCAUCAAAGUCUAUAUUGUUAGAUUGUUACACUUCAUCAGCCAACCUUACGUUCCUAUGCGCAAGGAACCCCCAUUCUAUCGCUAAUAUAAAUAUCCACUAACCUUACAACAUUGUUCUUUAGCAAUUUAAGAUAAAUUUAUAGAUAUUUGCCAAGAUAUCCCUCAUCAUAUUGCACAUUUGCCCAAGAUAUUCCUGAUGGUAUUGCACAUUUGCCCAAGAUAUCCACCAAGAAAAUGCACAUUUGCCCAAGAUAUCCCUCAUAGUAUUGCACAUUUGCCCAAGAUAUCCACCAUAAUUCUUCAACGAUGUGGUAAGGUGGGGUAAUUUCACAUUUGGUAUUGAAAAAAGGUUUGGGAUCCGAUCCUGAGG